UUUCCUUGGAUAUAUUUUUCUGCUCCAAUAGAUCAUCAUCACUUCCAUACUUCUGCACAUUCAUGCCUUGCUUUCAUUUCAUCAUUACUCCAUCUUUUCCAUAUUUUACAAACCACUAUCAUUAUUUUUCUUCCAUUUAUCAUUUCACUCUUCUUUUUCUUCCCUAUAUAAACACCUUCUCCUCUCACUCUAAAUACAUUCCUUCAUCCAUUUCAUCUUCUUUGUCUCUCCAUUUCCAUUCCAUUUUUCUCUCCAUUCUCUAGUUGCAAAAUUCUGCGUUUUCAAGUAAGAAGAAGAAGAAGAAGAAGGAGCCGGGAAUAUCAUAUCCUCCAUCGUCCACCUUGAAGGCUUGCUUCCAAGAUUCAAGAUUUCAACGUUUCAAGCACUCCAUCUCCAUCUCCAACUCACGGUGUGUACCCUCAAUCCCCGGAAUAGAACGAUCCCUAUUUGCUUAUACUACUAACGAUGUUUUCAGGGUUAAAUUAUGCGCUUGCUUUGAGCGUAUCAAUUUUUGGCGCCGUUGCCGGGGAUUGAAAAAUCACUUGUUUUUGUUUAUAAUUGUUGUAUAUAAACUGUUUGAUACUUAGUUUAAAUUAACUAGGUUGUUUUUUUUAUUGUUGAAUACGAGUUUAAUUGUGAGUUGUAAAUUAAAGAAGGAAUAGGUGAAGUCGUGUUUAUUAAUAUUGGCCUAAACCCCUUAUUGGUACCUAGUUCAGGUCCCUUAAGGUUGAGGGCGGCCUUUAUUAACAUUCAUUGAACUGUCUAACACACUUAGGACCUUUUACAUCCUAGUAAGAAUAUCCUAUGUGAGAUGGUGUCUAGGAAGGGGACAACGUUCAUGACGGGUUUUUGAAUCCAGAAGUGCUUAUAAAUGGGCUUAGCUCAUGCCAAAAUGGAUUUUUCCUCUCGUGUUCACCCUCCCCUACCUGGCCAUUUCAGUAAGGUUGCCCAACGGAUGUAGGAGGGACUUUGUGUCUAGACGACUAUACUUGGGCCGCACGUCCACUUGAUUUACCGCUUGGAAUUAGAUUUGAUAUCAAUAAUGUUUAUAACAAAAGAAAUACUUGUGAAUACUCUUUACGUGUAAAUUAUUUUGUUGUUUCACACUUUAUACUUGUAAAAAUACUUUUUACGUUUUAUACUCACUUGUGUACUUAACUUGUGUCUUAUGUACAAAAUACUUGUUAAUUAUACUUGUAGUUUGUAAUUCAUAGUUACUUGUUUAUUUUUUUUGUAUUUCUUUGUUAAUAUUAAGUUACUAACUUUAUUUAAUGUAGGUACCGUCUGGCUGCAAGACGUAAAAUACAAGCGCUGCUUGGGAGGCAACCCAAUUCAGAAUAUAAUCAGAUUUGCUUUCUCUUCCCCUUUUACUCCUCCAUUUUCUUUUUGUUUUAGUAGUUAUUUUCGUAAAUUCCAUCCCUAUAUGCUUACUUAUUUCAUUGCAUGCUUUUAAUUGAUUACAUUGAGGAUAAUGCAAUAUUUAAGUGUGGGGGAAGGGAUUUAUAUUUUUGUCUUUCAUUUUGAAUCCUAUAAAUAUUUUUGUCUUUCAUUUUGUGUCCUAUAAAUAUUUUUGAGUCCUAUAUUUUUUAAUAAUAAUAAAAAAAAAUAAAAAUAAAAUAAAAAUAAAAAUAAAAUAAAAUGCAUUCAUUCAGUCUUAUUAAAUUCAGCUUUUUACAAAAAAAAAAAUAAUAAUAAUAAUAAAAAAAAAAAUUUUAAAAAAAAAUAAUAAUAAUAAAAAAAAAAAAUAAAAAAAAAAUGCAUUCAUUCAGUCUUAUUAAUUUCAGCUAUUUACAAAAAAAAAAAAAAAAAAAAAAUAAUAAUAAUAAUAAUAAAAAAAAAAAAAAAAAAAUAAUAAUAAUAAUAAUAAUACUCUAUACUAAGCCAUGUCUGCAUCUCUGUAGGAGUUGAGGCUGAGCUCAAGGGAAAUGUGAGAGCCACCGCCAUAACCGCUACCUCCCUCGGAAGUAGUCUUCAUGAUGCCCAAGAUGUCCUCACCAUGCAUGGGGAACAAUGGAAGGGUUUCAAUCUCCUGGUGAUCUCCUCCUCGUUGUUGCAGGGAUGUUUGUCCUCCUGUUGUGCCAAAAGAGUUGUACUGGUAUUAGUGUUGAAGUGUGAGGAAGAAUAUGAAACAAAAUUUAAAUCAAGAAAUCCUUCAUUACCAGUAGAAUCGGUGGAACCAAAGUUGAGAUUAAUGGAUCUACCAUCAUCAGUAGAACUAGUGGACCCAAAAUUGAUGUCAAUGGAUCCACCAGCUGGCCCAAAAUUGAUGUCGAUGGAUCCACCAGCACCAGUAGAACCAGUGGACCCAAAAUUGAGAUCAAUGGAUCCACCAGUACCAGGAGAACUAGUUCUCAUGGGCACUUGAGCAGCCUGAUUGCACCUCUUCAUCUGCUUCUCUCGAGCCCUGACAUUCUGGAACCAAAAAUAAAUGUUCUUGCCCUCAACAUGUCCAUACUGGUUCAGCUGGAGACAGAUCUCGUGAAUAUGCUCUGUAGUUGGGCGCUUAACUCCCUUGUCGUAGUAAAGAUCCUUGAGGAUCCUUAUUUGAUCUGGAGUAGGAACCCACCUGGCACGGCUUCGCCAGAAAUCUGUGUUGGCACUACUCCCGGCUGCUUGGUUGUUUCCUCCAUCCUCGAUUUGUUGCUGGGUUUGUAGCUCCAUCAGUUGCAGAGUUCGUGGUUCCAUGGUGAUGGGUUGAGGGGAUGUGAAGAUCGAAGAGUAAAGUUGUCAAGUGUUUGAAGGAGUUGUUGUUAAAGGGAUUAAGGAUGAUGAUGGUGUGUUGGAGAUCUGAAAGUUCAGAGGAAAGAUGGGAUUGAAUCAACUAGAUGGGAGAGAAGAUCAGAAGAGAAGGAUUGAAUCGAAGAAGAAAUAUUUUGAGUUUUGAAAGAAGAGGAAAAGCUGAAGAGUUGGGAGAGAGGGGCUGGAACUCAGGAGAGAUUUUCGUUCCUUUGGAGUGAACAGUUGCGCCCUCAGAAUGCACCUAUUUAUAGAGCGAGGUGAGCAGAUCUCCACCGUUGGAUGGACGAUUCCUGUGAUUCAUUCUACGCGUUGGAUUAAAGUCGCCCUGAAACCCGGAAAAGUUGUUGGCGCGUGGAGAGCGUGUAAGGGGACCGAGGGAAUCUCGAGGCGCUGUGGCGGACAGCUGUAGCCGAAAGCAGAUUUGACUGCCGUAAAUCACGGAAGGGAUAAGCCGUGACACAAGUGGGCCGUACUUGGGCCUGUCUCGGAUCAAGGCAUCACUGUAGCUGUGGGUGGAGGCCUGAUGGGCCGAGUUUCUGAAACAGUUUUGGAUGAGUUGGGCCGGAUUUCUGUAACAGUUUUGGAUACGUUGGGCCGAGUUUCUGAAACAGUCUUGGAUGUUUUGUGCCGAAUUGUUGAAACAGUUGAAACAGUUGGUUUAAAUAAAAGGAUUGGUAUGGAUAAUAACGUGAGCAGCCGUGCUCGAGUGGUUGAGUGUAAAGUUCGUGUACAAGAGGUCUGAGGUUCGAACCUCGCCUCUCGUUUAUUUUUAUUAUGUUCGUUUAUGACAUAAUAAGUAUAAAAUUUGUACACAUUAUAUUAAGCACAGCUUGUGCUCCAGUGGUUGGGGACAAAGGUUUCGUGUAGCAGGUUAAGGUUUCGAACCUUGCCUCCCCCGUUUUUUUUUAUUUAUUUAUGUCACUCCAUCAGAACCCUCCUCCGAAGGCUGAAACCAGCAAGAAGGCUGCCACUCGCCCGCAUACCGCUCAUCCAAAGGAGUAAAUGGAGGUACAAGUCUAGGCUGAAAGACUUUAAACAUUAAGCGCUGCAUGGGAGGCAACCCAUUUCAACCGUAGCUGUGGAGGAGCCAUCAACGCAGAUUUGCUCUCUUAAACUCUAUCUCCUCUAUCUCCUCUAUUACUAUUUUCUGAUUGUAUCUUUGUUAUUUGCGUUUUUAGUUUUUGUUUUUAGGUUUUCUUGAGUUAAUCAUUCCAUUCACAUGAUAAUUGUUCAUUGCAUGCUCUAACUUGUUUAACAUUGAGGACAAUGUAUGAUUUAAGUGUGGGGGGAAGGAUUAAUGCUUGUAGUUAGUUUUUGUCAUAAAAAGAAAACAAAACAAAAAAAUCGAAAAAUGUCAGAAAUAUAAAAAAUUUCGUUGCUUUUGUUUUUGUUUUGAGUCUUAGGAUGCCUUUCAACUGUCUGGGAUGAUUCUAUAUCUCUGAAAUCAUGACUAAAAGAGGAUCACAACAUUGAGAUGAUUUUAAACAUGGUAUUCUUUGGUUAAUUGAGAUAUAUGAAAAAUGUGUGCCUUGUAGUGGAUAUGGAUUGCAUGACCUUGGUACAGAAUAUGAGCAUGUUAAGAUGAGGUGUGAUUCAUAAAGCCAUGUGAGAUAAUUGAACCAUGUCCCUUUUUCUUGGAGUGAAAUGAAAAAUAUAUUCUUAAUUUCUUGGCGAUGUUUUGAUGAUCUCAUUAUUCUUUCAUCUUGAUUGACUGCUUGCCAUAGAUUAAGUUUAAUGGACUAGAGAAUGCUAGAAUUCGCUCUUGUGCUUGUUGAGACGUGAUAUCAAUACAUGGCCCUGAUUCUGGAAGGGAUAGAGGUUCUCUAGGAAUUACCACCAUUGCCAAAUAAACUUGUGUCCCCAUUUGUGCCCGUCGUGGGACCCCCCUAGAUAAGCCCCUUUGAGCCUACUUUGAGCCUUUUCGUUCAUCACCCUUAAAAUCCUUAACCAUGAAGCUUAGUAUAGUUACAACCCUACCCUUUGUUCUAAGGACUUAGUGGAGCUAUCUUUUGAGACAUACUACAUGGGUUUGGUGCUAAGGAUGAAGAUUGAGAAGAGGUGAAAGUUCAAGUGUGGGGAUAGACUUGUCCAUAAAGAAAAAGAUAUGUUGAAGCCGUGAAAAAUGAAAAGAAAAGAGAAAAAUUGUGUACGGCUAAAAAGAAAAAGAAAAAAAAUAUAUAUAUAUGUUUAUGGACUUUCAUCCCCCAUACUUAGUGAUUUUGGAGUUUGCUUUGAAUUGAAGGCCCACUACAGAAAAAUUUGGCCUUUGUCCAUUUCACUAGAGUUCAAGGGAAGUUUAUAUUGAAGAUUGGGCCCAACAUGAAGACAUUUGGCCCUCUUAUAUUACCUCUAUGGGGAAGUGACGUUUUUGCAAUGCCUUGGUGAAAUAUUUCGAGAUCUCUACAUUCAUAUGAGCUCUACUAGGUUUUUAGGACACUUUGAUAAUCCUUACCUUUCAUUUCUUUAAACCUUGAGCCUUAGCCCCAUUACAACCUUUGAGAGGACCUUCUUGAUCCUUAAGAUGGGACAGCCUUUGAUGUGGAGAUGAGUUACAAGAGUUGAACCUAUGGCUUGGGUCCAUUCGUGCAAGUAGUUGAUAUCCUUCAUGAGAUCUUUUGAAAAAAAUUAUAUUCACAAAGUGCUUUUCGUUUCUUAUAUAUGUGAGCUAUUUGACUGCCUUAAAAUAUGUUCUCUCACAUAUAAAUGAGUGAUUAUAAGCUUUUAAGCAUUGCCUUGAUCUGAGAGAAGAAAGAGUGGAUAUACCUUGUGAGGAUAUGAAUCAUACUUGUCUGAAGCAUGCUAAGCUAAACCCCAAUCACCAUUAUUACAACCAAGUCCUACUUGUGUAUGUGUGGAUCAUAUGUUUUAAUUAACUCUCGAAUGCUUAACAUUGAUUCUUGAUUGAGUGCUAAUCUUGGUGUUGUGAAAGUAUGAGAUUUCUGAGACAAUAUGUUAAAGGGCAAUAGAGGUCUUUGUGAUGUCAACAUCUUGGUCUUUGUCUUUGAAUUUACUCUUUUAUGUGUGACGUUUUUUUUUUUCUUUGUGUUUUGCUUUGUGUUUUACGUUUUUGGUUUCUUUGAGUCUUUGUGUUUUUGUUUCCAUACUUAGUCAUUUUUUUCGUUGGUUUCUUUGUUUUGUGUCAUAGUCUUUUUGGUUUGUUAGUUUUUGAUUUUGCUAAGGGACUAGCAAAAGCUAAGUGUGGGGGAAUUUGAUAGGAGCAUUUUAAUGUGGUAUUUUAAUAGUUAAUUCCUCACAUUUUGCUUAGUUAAUUCCUUAACGAAUCGAUUUUUAACUCAAUUUCUAUUUUCUUAGGUACAUUGGAGUAAAUGAUGGUGAAAUGAGCAUUAGGUCCACACUUACCUAUAAAUGGUGGAGAAAAAUGGAAAUGUACUAAAAUGUCAAUUUUACACAUUUUCCUACUCCGGCUAGGAGAAACCAAGCCAAGCAAGGAAGAAGGAGCGGCCGCCGGACCAAAUGAACUUCAAAUGAGCUGAAACUUUCCAGAUCCAUUCUAGACAGCCCAAGGAUCAUUUCUUAUGAAGAGUGCAAGAACUUUUGUUGAGUGGAAGGCCUUCAAACAAUCAGCCCAAUUUUCUACAGAAGCAAAACUGGAAAACUGGACCUGUAAGAGGUCCAGCAGCAUUUUCGGCCCAACCACAUGGAAUAAAAAUCUGAAAUUUUACCAGGGUGAUCUACACUCAUAAUGGAACAUUUUUUAUGAAGAGGUCAUAGUGAAAUUGGGAAUGCUUGUUGGAGAAAUAAUUGAAGGAAUAAAGGGGCAGAAACUGAUCUAAAAAACAGCUCAACAUCACAUGUUCAUGUUUCCUACCCACAUGAAGAAAGCUAGAUGCUUUUCUCUUUUUCCUUGGAUAUAUUUUUCUGCUCCAAUAGAUCAUCAUCACUUCCAUACUUCUGCACAUUCAUGCCUUGCUUUCAUUUCAUCAUUACUCCAUCUUUUCCAUAUUUUACAAACCACUAUCAUUAUUUUUCUUCCAUUUAUCAUUUCACUCUUCUUUUUCUUCCCUAUAUAAACACCUUCUCCUCUCACUCUAAAUACAUUCCUUCAUCCAUUUCAUCUUCUUUGUCUCUCCAUUUCCAUUCCAUUUUUCUCUCCAUUCUCUAGUUGCAAAAUUCUGCGUUUUCAAGUAAGAAGAAGAAGAAGAAGAAGGAGCCGGGAAUAUCAUAUCCUCCAUCGUCCACCUUGAAGGCUUGCUUCCAAGAUUCAAGAUUUCAACGUUUCAAGCACUCCAUCUCCAUCUCCAACUCACGGUGUGUACCCUCAAUCCCCGGAAUAGAACGAUCCCUAUUUGCUUAUACUACUAACGAUGUUUUCAGGGUUAAAUUAUGCGCUUGCUUUGAGCGUAUCAAAGGAGUAUUACACUAUUAAUUAAGUCCAUACACAUGGCCAUUUGAAAAAUAAAUAGAUUGAAGAAAAUACUUGCAAUCGGCCAUAAGAGCAACUCCAACAGCUUCUUCAUAUUUUAAUUUUUCUCUAUUUUAGAGAAAACUG